rnacentral:Y_RNA from 1 species
AGCUGGUCUGAGGGCAGCGGUGUUUACAACUAAUCACAACCAGUUACAAAUUUCUUUGUUCCUUCUCCACUCCCACUGCUUCACUUGACUUUAA